rnacentral:tRNA from 1 species
GGCGGCGUAGCUCAUUUGGUCUAGAGCGUCCGUCUCAUAAGCGGAAGGUAGUGGGUUCGAAUCCCACCGCCGCCA